UUGAUGGAGACUGUGCUUGGCACUCUUGGGGAAUCGUGGGGCAGCUGCUCCAAGGAGGAGAGCUGCAAAGGGAGGUCUUGGCACCCUCCCUGGCAAGAGGAGCGGGCUGGAGCAACUAUGGAGGGAUCUCCCUGGAAUUGGAUCAUCUGAGAAGCUCUGCUAUAGAAUGCGUCAUCCUGCCCAGCACACAGGAGGCUCUCAGGCUAUGUUUGUUGAAUAAAUGAACAAUGGAAAGUCACAAUUUCUGCUCACCUUCGAACCAGGUGCAGCCUUGGGAUCUGCAUUCCUAAGAAGAGACACUGGACCUCAGGCUCUGACCCCAGAGCAGGAGGGCAGUGGCUGUCCCUGACCCCCUGAUCUCUGAGCUCAGGGGAGGACAGUGAGCCCGUCCAACUUCGUGAGGGGCUUUCUCUUUCAAGGAUGUGUGUGAAGAAGACGGUAGUCCCCUGGCCUGGGAGUAAACUCUAGAUAAGAACAGUCUUUCACCACACCCCAAGGCUUCCUUGUGCCUCCGAGCCCAGUGGAGGACGAACACUGAGGUUUCUGUGGUGCUGGAUACAGCACAGGGUGGCGUGACCUGAAGACAAGAAAGGGGGAGGAGGGGGUCCUCCUGGAGUCCAGUGCCUGGUGAAGUGUGGGGCAGGCUCCAGACUGGGCAGGGAAAGGCCUCGGAUCCCAGUGUCACAGCAGAGGCCAGACACUCUUCCUUGGUUCAAGGUGAAUAGGUCACAGGAACUGAGACGGGCUUCCCACAUACAACCACUGGGAGGGCAAAGGUAGGGAAGGGUACAGGCCGGAAACAACGAGGUGCCCAAGGUAAGAGGCAGGCCCUCGUCAGCCUCGGAUACUGUCUCCUACUCCCAACCCUUGGGCCCAAUAGAGGAACCAGUUGAAAAGGAAGGCCCGACAUAUUUCCAUCAGCAAGCAACAGGACCACCAACUCCUCCGUGUUGCCCAGCUCCCACUGAGAGUGGACAUACAGUCAUACCCAUACCCAACACGCAUCCCAGUCUGUGCGGAGCAGUCCAUCAUCAUCCUCCCUAGCUUCGGACGACAGCCGACUAAGACCCUUUUGGAGCACCAUCACUUCUCUGUACAGUGGCCCAGGCUCAAACCACCCUGUGCUCUGCAGGUCCUGGAUCUCUAAGGGGUGAGGCCAGAGCUGCGGUCCUUCUGAGGCCCCAGCCUCCCCAGAUGGCGAGGGGAAUGGGCUGCUGGCCACAAGAGUUGGCGAGCGCAUUCCAGACCCUAUAAAAAGACAAACGCCCUGGCUGCCAGAGGCUUAGGCUCCAGCCUCGUGGAGGACGCUGCAGCAACUUGAACCCCAGGAAUGCGACAGGGGCCUGGUGGAGCCUGCUGAUGCCUGAGGGGUGGGAAGCCACCCUGCAGCCCAGGAGGGGCCAAAUGGGCAGCCAUCUUGCAGAGCUUGCCAGGCCCUGCCCUGCCCUGCCCUGCCCUCGAGGAGAGCAGGCACCAUCUACUUAAGAAAAAUCUAAAUUAUCCAGAACUUGGAAAUAAAGCAAAGAAAGGAUGCCAUAUCUUUGUAAUAUCAUGUUGGAGCAUUUUAUAACAGGCCUGGCCAAGGAUUAUCUAAUUAUCCAGGUCAGGGUUUCUCAACCUCAGCCCUAAUGAUAUUUUGGUCUGGAUACUUCUUUGUUGGUGGGAGGGGGCUGUCCUGUGCAUUGCAGGGCCCCUGCCUCUACCCCACUAGAUGCUAGUAGGACACAUCUCCGCCCCUGCCCCUCCCCCUCACAAUUCCAGUUGUUGCCAAAUGUCCUCUGGGGCAGAACUACUUCCCCUCCCCAAUCCCUUGAAAACCACUGACCUAGGAGGGAAUGUAACUUUGUUUAGCUCUCACUAUUCUGUCCUCUAGAGAUGCAAAUGAAUUCUGCCUGAUAGGAAGAUAACCCCAAUGGUUAGAGUUUUAUUGCCCUGUAGGACAUUAACCAGCUUGGUAUCUAACCUAGCAAUCCUAUUCCAUCAUUCUCUCUCCGGUGUCAUAACUUCUGCUGCUCUAAUUCCCUUUAACUCAGCUUCACACGCCUGCUUGUUCUCUUUUGAGUUGAACUAAUCUUUGAUAUGUGUUCCUUGGAUAUUUUACUCACAGUUGUGUUUUCACUUUUUGAACAUCAUACUUUGACAUAGGAUUGCUUUGAGGGUGAAAUGAGAUAAUGUAGCAAAAGCAAUCAGUUUAUCAUGUCUGCCCAACAAUUAGGAAGUCUGAUAAUUGUUUUUGCUUUUCCACAUUGGUCCCCUCAGCCUGGCCUAGGCUGGAAUGGUAACCCUGCCCAAUAAAGGAUGUAGGCCUGCCCACAGAGCCACCUGGGCAUGUGCAGUGAUCUAACCUCUCUGCGCUGUGGUUUACUCCUCUGUACAAAUGAGAAAAAUAAAAGUACC
rnacentral:lncRNA from 1 species